rnacentral:rRNA from 1 species
UACAGAGGUGGCAAGCGUUGUUCGGAAUUACUGGGCGUAAAGGGCGCGUAGGCGCCUACUAAGUCAGACGUGAAAUCCCCCGGCUUAACCUGGGAACUGCGUCUGAUACUGGACGGCUUGAGGAUGGGAGAGGGAUGUAGAAUUCCAGGUGUAGCGGUGAAAUGCGUAGAUAUCGGUAGGAACACCAGUGGCGAAGGCGGUCUGCCUGGGGCAUUCUUCGAGCGCUGAGGCGCGGAAAGCUGGGGGGAGCAAAACGGGG